AAGGAAUAUUGGACAAUGGAGGCAACUCUGAUCCAGCCAUGCCGCGUGAAGGAAUAAGGCCCUAUGGGUUGUAAACUUCUUUUAGACGGGACAAAACCCCUUUACGUGUAAAGGGUUGAUGGUACUGUCAGAAUAAGCAUCGGCUAACUUCGUGCCAGCAGCCGCGGUAAUACGAAGGAUGCAAGCGUUAUCCGGAUUCACUGGGUUUAAAGGGUGCGUAGGUGGGUAUGUAAGUCAGUGGUGAAAUCCCCGAGCUUAACUUGGGAACUGCCAUUGAUACUAUAUAACUUGAAUACCGUAGAGGUAAGCGGAAUAUGUCAUGUAGCGGUGAAAUGCUUAGAUAUGACAUGGAACACCAAUUGCGAAGGCAGCUUACUAUGCGGCGAUUGACACUGAGGCACGAAAGCGUGGGUAGCAAACA
rnacentral:rRNA from 1 species